rnacentral:rRNA from 1 species
GAUCCUGGCUCAGGAUAAACGCUGGCGGCGCACAUAAGACAUGCAAGUCGAACGAACUUAACCAUUAGUUUACUAUUGGAGCGGUUAGUGGCGGACUGGUGAGUAACACGUAAGCAACCUGCCUAUCAGAGGGGAAUAACAGUUAGAAAUGACUGCUAAUACCGCAUAUGCCUUAGAAUCACAUGGUUCGAAAGGGAAAGGAGCAAUCCGCUGAUAGAUGGGCUUGCGUCUGAUUAG